CUAGACCUGAAAUCAGUCGAGGACACCCGCUGAAUUUAAGCAUAUUAUUAAGCGGAGGAAAAGAAAAUAACUAUGAUUCCCUUAGUAACGGCGAGUGAAGAGGGAGGUGCUCAAAGUGAAAAUCGUGGUACCUCUUAUGGUACCGCGAGUUGUAGCCUCUAGAGGCGUUACCAGUGGGAGGGGGCAGGUCUAAG
rnacentral:rRNA from 1 species